GCUGGGUGUGGUGGUGCUCGCCUGUAAUCCCAGCUACUCUGGAGGCUGAGGCAGGAGAAUUACUUGAACCCAGGAGGUGAAGGUUGCAGUGAGCCGAGAUCGCGCCACUGCACUCCAGCCUGGGUGACAGAGCGAGACUCUGUCUCAA
rnacentral:SRP_RNA from 2 species